rnacentral:tRNA from 1 species
GCCCUCUUAGUUAAAUGGAUAUAACACGACGCUACGAACGUCGAAUCAGUGGUUCGAUUCCGCUAGAGGGUGCCA